rnacentral:rRNA from 1 species
UUGGAGGGCAAGUCUGGUGCCAGCAGCCGCGGUAAUUCCAGCUCCAAUAGCGUAUAUUAAAGUUGUUGCAGUUAAAAAGCUCGUAGUUGAAUUUCGGGGUCAGUAGGUUGGUCAUGCCACUGGUAUGUACUGGCCUCACUGAUUCCUCCUUCCUGAUGAGCCGUAAUGCCAUUAAUUUGGUGUUGCGAGGAAUCUGGACUGUUACUUUGAAAAAAUUAGAGUGUUUAAAGCAGGCUAGCGCUUGAAUACAUUAGCAUGGAAUAAUGAAAUAGGACGUUCGAUCUUAUUUUGUUGGUUUCUAAGAUUGACGUAAUGAUUAAUAGGGAUAGUUGGGGGCAUUAGUAUUCAAUUGUCAGAGGUGAAAUUCUUGGAUUUAUUGAAGACUAACUACUGCGAAAGCAUUUGCCAAGGAUGUUUUCAUUAAUCAAGAACGAAAGUUAGGGGAUCGAAGACGAUCAGGUACCGUCGUAGUCUUAACCAUAAACUAUGCCGACUAGGGAUCGGAUGAUGUUAAUUUUUUAAUGACUCAUUCGGCGCCUUACGGGAAAC